AUGUCUGGAAGGCUGUGGUCCAAGGCCAUUUUUGCUGGCUAUAAGUGGAGUCUCCGGAACCAAAGGGAGCACACAGCUCUUCUUAAAAUUGAAGGUGUUUAUGCCCGAGAUGAAACAGAAUUCUAUUUGGGCUCAUGUAUACAAAGCAAAGAACAACAUAGUGACUCCUGGCGGCAAAUCAAACAAAGCCAGAGUAAUCUGGGGAAAGGUAACUCGGGCCCACAGAAACAAUGGCAUGAUUCGUGCCAAAUUCUGAAGCAAUCUUCCUGCUAAGGCUGUUGGACACAGAAUCCGAGUAAUGCUGUACCCCUCAAGGAUUUAA
rnacentral:lncRNA from 1 species